ACACCGGCAGCUCUAGUGGUAGCUGUUUUUAUUGGGCCUAAAGCGUUCGUAGCCGGUUUGAUAAGUCACUGGUGAAAUCCUGUAGCUUAACUGUGGGACUUGCUGGAGAUACUGUUGACCUUGAGGUCGGGAGAGGUAAGCGGUAUUCCCAGGGUAGAGGUGAAAUUCUGUAAUCCUGGGAGGACCACCUGUGGCGAAGGGGGCUAACUGGAACGAACCUGACGGUGAGGGACGAAAGCUAGGGGCGCGAACCGGAUUAGAUACCCGGGUAGGCCUAGCCGUAAACGAUGCGGACUUGGUGUUGGGAUGGCUUUGAGCCGCUCCGGUGCCGAAGGGAAGCUGUUAAGUCCGCCGCCUGGGAAGUACGGUCGCAAGACUGAAACUUAAAGGAAUUGACGGGG
rnacentral:rRNA from 1 species